rnacentral:lncRNA from 1 species
AAAUUGAAGCAAAUCAACAGCAAAUACAGCAGGAUUCAGGGAGGCUUAGUUUACAACGUACUUUGUACCUCCUGCCAUUUAAAUUAUUUUGCCACUCUGGGCUUCUGAAAACACAAAGGGAGAUACAGCCCUCCAACUAUGAGCCUUGCAGAGAGAGACAAAAGGGCCAGAGGUCCUGGGAUGGAAUACUAGAGCCCCCACCUUCUCAUGCUUUGGAAACCUGCCAGAGCACUUACCCUGCUGGAAGAUUAAUGAAGACUCCAUUCUGUGUUUCAUAACAGUAGCGUUGUUUUCUCCAUCAAAAACAGAGGGUCACAGAAAUGUGCUGAAAAGAUGUGGUCCAGCAAGGUUCUGUAGUCCCACCUCAGUGCCUGUGGGCUGUGUUUUUCACUGUAACAAGCACUUUGGUAAACUAGAAAGAAGAAAGGAUUCUCAGGAUGUGUUCAAAGCUAAGAGAGUUUUCAUUUUAAAAAGAAACAUACAUACUCACUCCAUGGCUUUCCUCAUCCUCCUCUCUUUUUUCUUCUUGGUGGGAAGCUGGAUGCGGGGCAUGCAUCAUUCUGUAUGGACAAAUGUGUUAUGUCCACCCAUACUCUUGUGACAACUCCCCAGCACUGUCCUGCAAUACCAUGCUGGCCUUGGUAGUAAAACUCCUUGGUAUCUGUGAGAGUCCUCUUUUUCUAUGCCCUAGACUACUUUUAACCACUUUUCUCUGGAAUGACUCCCACAUUUGAUUGGGUAUUGAAAGGGUAACAGCAAAAUGAUGAUUGUGGAGAUGGAUCUAUUAGGUCUCAUGUUGGUCCCCUGGUUGAAACUAUUUUCAAAAAAGCCCCAACAAUGGGCCUGUCACCUUGCUAGUCAUCCAUUCUUAAUGCCUAUUUAUCAGCCCUCUGAGGUCAUAUAAAAGUUGCACCUUUUGAACCAAGUAUUUGUAUUUACUAUGGGAAAGGUGUGGACUACAGAUUCGUAUUAUAUUAUUUUAAUGGAUUUUAAGUAAUUUAUAAGUAUGCUGAGUGUAAAUUUUUUUUAAAAACUGUAUUAUAAAAGGACAUAUCCUGUGAAAUAUAACAUUUUACUGUUUAAUAGAAUAAUUCUAUAAGAAGAAUGAUUUAUCUCACCCACGGAACUGAUUACAUUCCGGAUGCAAUCAAUAGGCACUUUGUAAUUUCCUUUUUGUUUUUUUUUCUUUGCUGGGGGGUUGAGGGGUAACAAGAUACCAUCUGUAUAAAGUGCAGUUUGUGUCACUCAAAAUAUGCACUGUAUGGCUACACAAAAGCAGCUUGAUGAACAAAUCACCCCAUGGCUCAUUAAAGAACAAAGCUUC